rnacentral:lncRNA from 1 species
GAUUCGCAAAGAUCAGCUUCAAGAAUGACAGGACUGGAGCCAUUAGCAAGCUCAUCCAGCAGUGAUCAUCCAUCAGAGGUGAGUGUCUCCAUAUCCUGAUGCAGAGGAGUGUGAGGAGCAGCACCACAUUCCUGCCUGCAGAAGCUCCAAGAGGCUUGGGACACGUGCAGAUAAUCUCCUGAAUUCCCUCAUUUUCCUGCUGCAGACUGUCAGCCCAGGGGUGUGUUUGCUCAGCAAUGGAUGAAGCUGGCAGUGACUCCACCAGGCUGAGUAGUUGCAACACUCAGUGGGAGACCAUCUUCUCCUCAACCAGUGCUAGGUGAGAAGCAGUUCGACCUGGUUUGUAAUUUGGAAUAUCUCUCAUGUGGUCAUUGAGAUGAAGAGUUGAUGGACAGUCUCCAGGGAACUGCAACACCAAUUUGGAUUUGGUAUUUCCUACCGAGAGCACAGGCAGUGCCAACACCGCAGAAGAGAACGAGGAGUAAGGGCUCCAGCUGCUCCUCCACUGCUCGUCAGCUUCUGCAGGUCUCACCUCCGUGAGGCAGCCUGGUGGUACCGGUCAGUGUUCAAACUGGUCAAAAUGUGGUGAGAAACAGACAAUUUCAUUCCCCUCGCUCAAAGCUGGGAUAGCCUCCAGAUUAAAUUCCACCUCCUGGUAACUCCUACUGGAUGUAUCUUCUACCAAAGGCCUGUGGAAAGGACCUGAACCAGAGGAGGUUUGGCCCUUCGCAUCUGUGGUGCAGAAUCCAGCGGUGCAUUAUUCUGAUUAGAAGGUCUAAAACAGUGAAUAGAGCAUAUAAAACUGUCUACUGUGUUUCAUCAUACAUAAUUCGCUGCAGCAACCUACAGCCAUCCAAGCUGCUUCAGCCUCCCUCUCACAACCCACUGGUGCCCUGAGAGAUGCUGUCCCAGCAGAGGGGUCCCUGCGUCACCAGCACCUCAGCACUGACAGAGCGGUGUGAUGCCUUCAGAGCAUUCAGCAGGUCCCUCACCUUUUACUGGGCAUCUGAAACUGCCGUGGGGAGAGGCAGGAGGCACCCCGGGGCCUGGCUGUCCCCACAGAGAGUGCGUGACCACCUCUGGGGAAAGAACUUCGGGAGCGCCCAGGCUGCGCAGCAGAGUCUGAUCUUUAGCUGACUGUCCAUGAGCAUUACACCAACUGGGGGAUACUAUGUAUUGGUAGUGAGUUUAUGGAGCUACUACACCCUGAGAACUAGAUAGUCUUGCAAAUUAACUUUUCUCAUUCAUAGUAGUGGCCAGAAUAAUGCACUCCUGUGCAUUAUCUGCAUUAUCUGGCAGAUAAUGCAGAGUGAGAAUGAAUGAAAGCGGCAUGUUUAAGGGUAUCUGGAAAUUUAGUUAAUCUGUACUCAGAAGCAAUGGAGGAAAGAUGUUUUAUGUUCCAUAACGGUUCCAUAACAUACAUUUGUUUGUGUGCCACUGAUCUUCAGCACCAAAGAUGACAAAAGUGGUGGCACUAGAAUAAGAGGUUUUCCUUGUAAGUCAGAUUUUCAUAGAGCUCUUUCUUGUAAGGUCACAACACAGCAGUACGCAAGCAGCAUUUUUAGGUUGUAUUUCAUAAAUGCAGUCUACGUUUACACAGAGCAAAGAAAUGGAUAUGUGAAGUUUGUGGUGAAAAAAAUAAAAAUAAAAAUAAAGAAGGAAAAAAAAUAAAA